rnacentral:rRNA from 1 species
UUAGUGGCGAACGGGUGAGUAACACGUGAGCAAUCUGCCCUUGACUCUGGGAUAACUGCGGGAAACUGUAGCUAAUACCGGAUACGACGUACGGAGGCAUCUCCUGUACGUGGAAAGAAUUUUGGUCAAGGAUGAGCUCGCGGCCUAUCAGCUAGUUGGUGAGGUAAUGGCUCACCAAGGCGGCGACGGGUAGCCGGCCUGAGAGGGUGACCGGCCACACUGGAACUGAGACACGGUCCAGACUCCUACGGGAGGCAGCAGUGGGGAAUAUUGCACAAUGGGCGAAAGCCUGAUGCAGCAACGCCGCGUGAGGGAUGAAGGCCUUCGGGUUGUAAACCUCUUUUAGUUGGGAAGAAGCGAAAGUGACGGUACCAACAGAAAAAGCACCGGCUAACUACGUGCCAGCAGCCGCGGUAAUACGUAGGGUGCAAGCGUUGUCCGGAAUUAUUGGGCGUAAAGAGCUCGUAGGCGGUUUGUCGCGUCUGCUGU